rnacentral:rRNA from 1 species
GACGAACGCUGGCGGCGUGCCUAAUACAUGCAAGUCGAGCGGACGAAUCGAAAGCUUGCUUCUGAUUCGUUAGCGGCGGACGGGUGAGUAACACGUGGGCAACCUGCCCUGUAGACGGGGAUAACACCGAGAAAUCGGUGCUAAUACCGGAUAACACGAAAUGUCGCAUGACGUUUCGUUGAAAGACGGCGCAAGCUGUCGCUACAGGAUGGGCCCGCGGCGCAUUAGCUAGUUGGUGAGGUAACGGCUCACCAAGGCGACGAUGCGUAGCCGACCUGAGAGGGUGAUCGGCCACACUGGGACUGAGACACGGCCCAGACUCCUACGGGAGGCAGCAGUAGGGAAUCUUCCGCAAUGGACGAAAGUCUGACGGAGCAACGCCGCGUGAGCGAAGAAGGCCUUCGGGUCGUAAAGCUCUGUUGUUAGGGAAGAACAAGUAACGCAGUAACUGGCGUUACCGUGACGGUACCUAACGAGAAAGCCACGGCUAACUACGUG